rnacentral:tRNA from 1 species
GGAGAAGUAUCGAAGUGGUUGUAACGAGAACGACUCGAAAUCGUUUGACGGAUUUCCCGUCCGUGGGUUCGAAUCCCACCUUCUCCACCA